CCCCGGCGCCGGACGCGGGGGACGCGGCCUUCUGGGCCGCCGUCCAGGACGAGGAGUUCGACUCCCUCGCCGGGGA
rnacentral:tRNA from 1 species